AGGCUUCCCUUUAAUCUCAACUCCGUCAAACAGGUUUACAUAAAUGUUGAUCUGUAUGGCUUGUCUGGGGUGUCAUCUGUUCUUUGCUUGAUAAGAAGUUUCCCAUAUUUACAAGAUAUGGAAAUUCAGGAGGCUUAUUGCAAAAAUGAUAGCAGAUCAUCGAUAUCAACGAGUGCAACUUGCCUUAGAUAUGAUGACUAAUCACCUCAGGGAAAUUAAGCUAGUGGCUCAAUCAUUGAGAUGCAGCUUGCCAAGCUUCUCUUAGCCAAAUCCUUUCUUCAUUUUGGACAAAUGAAAAAGAAAAGUAUAUUAAAAAUUGUGAUGGAGGGAGUACUUCUUAUACAUAACAUAUCAAUUCUUGAACACCCUUAUUGAAAUUUCUGACUUAUCGGUACAUUUCUACUGUACAUAUUUCAUUAAAUCUUGAACACUCUUAAUAAAAAAUUUGACUUCGCCACUAAGUACAAUUCUAUGUAUAUAUGUAUCUUCAGAAGUGGAGGCUGACUGACUUGGUACAGUAUGAUUCUUUCUGUUAGGUUGAUGAGAUACAACGGAACUGUUUGAUUACUUGUCGAAGACAGAAAACAGGUGCAUGAAGCUCUGAAUAUGAUUCGAAGAGUGAAGUUAAGAAAAUUCAAGGGGACAAGGACUGAAAUGUACUUAAUAAAAGUCAUCCUUUCCAGUUCUCCUAAACUUGCGAGGAUAGUCAUUGAACAGAUCUAAUAAAGUACCUUUCGAAGGAGUUGAUAAGCUAUCAUCAAGCAUAACCCAAGAAAUCAGCUAUUGGUUACAUAAUUACUAUUAUUCCGCCCGGUGUCCGGUACCCAAAAAGAGGUCAACUGAUCCAGAUUCGCGCCGGAAGUCCCACUUUGGGGAUAAAGUAUUUUCUACCAAAGAUGACUCCAUUCACAAGGCUCAACCCGAGGCUUCUCCCUCUGAAGUACACUUAGUAAUGCUAAAUAUGACAUUAUUUUUCAGUACGUAGUAAAACUUCUUGGUUGAUGUCAUCCAUAUUGUGGGAAUAGAGCAGGGCAAUAGCAGUGACACCGUGUGACCCUAUAGUAGUGCUAUUCAAGCACCGUCGCAGCUUUAAAUUUCUGCUGAAGUUGGGAUGCUCAACAAACUUCUAUAUGCUGGUCUGACCAUGUGUUUAAUUCGAUGAUGCCAAAGAAACAUUUCACUAGUUAUAUCCGGAAAAAAAAGAUGCUUUGAAUGAAUUGAUCUUUACAAAUAAUGCGUUUGAGCUGCUAUUCUGACAUAUUUUCAGGGGUUUUAUUUGUAUGUGGGUUGUGAAACCUGUAUGUUACUUAUCUUCAAAUUUGAUUAUAAGCUGCUAUUCAGACAUAUUUUCA